rnacentral:lncRNA from 1 species
CCUCUCUCUCUCUCUCUUUCUGCUCUGUGAGGACACAGCAAGGGCUACCAUCUGCAAGCCAGGAAGACAGCGCUCACCAGGAUCCAAAUCAGCCAGCACCUUGAUCUUGGACUUCCUAGCCUCCAGAACGGUUUGAAAAAUCAUGGGAUUCCUCCCUUCAAGGGCCCCACUGAAGUCUCAGCUCCUCCUGAAGGGUUCUGCUCUGGAAAUCCUGCCAGCAUGAAUCUCUCCCUUAGCUUCUAUUAUCUCUACUGUCCAUUAAAACAAAACAAUCUAUUAUACAGAAUAAUAAAACAAGUAUACAGAAUAAUAAAGGUAUACAAAAUAAUAAAAUAAAUAUCCAUGUA